rnacentral:tRNA from 1 species
GUCUCUGUGGCGCCAAUUGUUCAGCGCGUUCGGCUGUUAACUGAAAAGGUGGUGGUUCAAGCCCACCCCAGGGACG